CCUACGGGUGACAGCAGUGAGGAAUAUUGGUCAAUGGCCGGAAGGCUGAACCAGCCAAGCCGCGUGAAGGACGAAGGUGCCAAGCAUUGUAAACUUCUUUUGUCAAGGGACAAAAUCAGGCUCGAGAGCCUGACCGAGGGUACUUGAAGAAAAAGCAUCGGCUCACUCCGUGCCAGCAGCCGCGGUAAGACGGAGGAUGCGAGCGUUAUCCGGAUUUAUUGGGUUAAAGGGGUGCGUAGGCGGACUGUUAAGUCAGCGGGAAAAGCCCGGGGCUCAACCCCGGCGAGCCGUUGAAACUGGGUGUCUUGAGAUGUCGAGAGGUAUGCGGAAUGCGCAGUGUAGCGGUGAAAUGCUUAGAUAUUGCGCAGAACUCCGAUUGCGAAGGCAGCAUACCGGCGGCGAUCUGACGCUGAGGCACGAAAGCGUGGGUAUCGAACAGGAUUAGAUACCCGAGUAGUC
rnacentral:rRNA from 1 species